rnacentral:rRNA from 1 species
CACCACAACGGGUGGAGCUUGCGGUUUAAUUGGAUUCAACGCCGGAAAUCUUACCGGGACCGACAGCAAUAUGAAGGCCAGGCUGAAGACUUUGCCGGAUUAGCUGAGAGGUGGUGCAUGGCCGUCGUCAGUUCGUACUGUGAAGCAUCCUGUUAAGUCAGGCAACGAGCGAGACCCACGCCCACAGUUGCCAGCGUACUCUCUGGAGUGACGGGUACACUGUGGGACCGCCGCUGCUAAAGCGGAGGAAGGAAUGGGCAACGGUAGGUCAGUAUGCCCCGAAUAUCCCGGGCUACACGCGAGCUACAAUGGUUGGUACAAUGGGUAUCUACCCCGAAAGGGGACGGGAAUCUCCUAAAACCAAUCUUAGUUCGGAUUGAGGGCUGCAACUCGCCCUCAUGAAGCUGGAAUCCGUAGUAAUCGCGGAUCAGCAUGCCGCGGUGAAUACGUUCCCGGGCCUU